rnacentral:rRNA from 1 species
CAGCCGCCGCGGGAAUACGUAGGUGGCAAGCGUUGUCCGGAAUUAUUGGGCGUAAAGGGCUCGCAGGCGGUUUCUUAAGUCUGAUGUGAAAGCCCCCGGCUCAACCGGGGAGGGUCAUUAGAAACUGGGAAACUUGAGUGCAGAAGAGGAGAGUGGAAUUCCACGUGUAGCGGUGAAAUGCGUAGAGAUGUGGAGGAACACCAGUGGCGAAGGCGACUCUCUGGUCUGUAACUGACGCUGAGGAGCGAAAGCGUGGGGAGCGAACAGGAUUAGAUACCCCAGUAGUCCCUGUCUCUUAUAC